rnacentral:lncRNA from 1 species
GCCAGGCACACUCUGAUGGGUCUUGGGGGAGACCAAGGGUGCCCUGCUCAAUGUCAGCCCUGACUCUGUGCCACGUGCACUCAGCUCUGCCACGGAGGUGCAUGGCUCUGUAGACGUGGACGCCUCAGGGGUGACACCUCAGAGCUCCUGUUUACCUCUUUAGCCACCAGGAAGACAUUAGGACUCCCAGAGGGUGACUCCAGGGGCAGGUGGCUUGGAGGACUGGCCGUGCAAGGAGGCAGCAAAGGGGCGGCCAUCUGCAAGCUGAGGGCAGAGGCCUUGGAGGAAGCAGCCCUGCCAGUGCUGGUAACUCCUGCAGGUCGGAAGUCCAAACCAAGGUGCUGGAAGGGCUGGUUCCUUCCGGACCCUUCAGGGGAGAAUCUUUCUGCCUCUUUGGCUUCUUGAGGCCCCUUCCUGGCAUUGCUUCUUUCUCCACUGACUCCUACCAUCAGCGCUGAGUCCUGCCUGCCUCUUAUAAGAUCUUCAGAGGCCACCUGGGAUGUCAGAAGCUUCCAGGAACCAGGAGGAGAUGGAAUGGGAUGGGCUCUGGGCCCGGCCAAGCAGAGCAGGAUAGGGCUGAGAGUCAUCUGAGCACAGGUGGUUCAAAUGGCAGAGAAGCUCCACGCUGGAGCGGGGAAGAGCUUGGGCUUUCCGGCCAGAAAGCGCAGGUUUUGGCCACGGCUCUUCUGCCACUCACUAGAUGUGGGAGUUUGGAGGCGUUACCCGAGCUCUGAGCCUUACUUUCCUCAUCUGAAAAAUGGGAAUAAUGGUAGGGUUAAAUUAAACCAAAUUUGGUCUGAGGAUGCCUCUGCACUUUGAGUCCAACUGCGACCUUAGCAGCAAAUGAACUGCAGGCCUAGCUUAGGAGUGUACUUUUGUAAGAAAUAGCCGAGUCUUAGCCAAUCACAGCAGCUGAGCUUCUAUAAAUCGCAGGUGGCUGCUGAGUAGUCCAUGUUCAAACACGGCAAACCAAGCUGUGACCAAUGAGCUGUCUCUGCAGCUCACUUCCAUUUUCUGUCUAUAAACACUCCCUGCCCACACUGUGGAGUGGAGCUCAGCCCUUGGAACCUCUUCUGGUCUGAGGGCUGCCCACUUCAUGAAUCCUUUGCUUAAUUAAACUCAAUUCAUUUCAAAUGAAACUCAAUUGAUUGCUAGAUUAAUUUAAAUUUAAUUCGUCUAAAGUUUUCUUUUAACAGUUCCUACCUUGUUGAGUUGUCGUGGGAAUCAAGUGGAAAUUUCUUUUUCACAUGGAAAGGGCUUAGCAUAGCCUGGCACGUGCUGAGUGUUCAGUGCACACUGGUUAUGAUGAUCACAGUUAGUGUCUCCAUCUUUGGUCUGUUCAGCGCUACAGUGUUUGGGGGCCAGCUAGGCAGUGCUGCAGCUGCAGCUCUGUGUGUGUGUGUGUGUGUGUGUGUGUGUGUGUGUGUGUGUGUGUGGAGGGGGCUGUGAGAUUGGCGGGCUCAGGAGAAGAUGACUACUAGCUGUUGCCAAAGUUUCUUUUCUGCAAGGGAAAGCCACAAGUCACUGGCUCCAAUGUGGACUUUUAAAAGGCCUUCCUUCCUUUCUCUCUUACUUCUGGGGAGCCCAUGGAUAGGAAAUGGCACUAAACUGACUUCAUCUCUGUACCCUGAUGCCUCCAUCGCCCUCAGAGUUUACGCCCUCGAUGAAUCACUUAGAGUGAACUGGGAGCUGUGUAUGAGGUGACGUCACCCUGAGAUAGAGCUCUGUGGUCACUGGGAGGUGGCUGUGUGCGUUAUCUCCCUGUGGCAUGCCAGGAGGCGUGUGUGUGUGCACGAGUGUGUGUGUGCAUGCAUGUGCAUGUGUGUCUUUGUGUGUGUGCAAGUGUGUGUAUGUGUGUGGAUAAGGGAGAGGGAGGGAGGGAGCUGGGCUGUCUCCCCUUCCCCACAAGUGGACCCUGCAGCUCAGAGCCGGAGGUGUGAGCUGAGUUUGGCGUUUGUAUGUUGCUUGAGUUGGAAUUUGAACUCACAGGGGACAGGAAAGGAUGCCUGUCCCCAGGACUGACUAACGACAUCAGGCCUGGCUAUUGAACUUCCUGCUCUGCAGAUCCUGGGUUCUGGGAGGAUGAGGAAAGGAUGAGCGAAGGCUGGGGGAUCUCUGGGGUGGGGGUGGACUCAGUGAGUGGAAAGAGUAAAGGUGUUGGGGGUGGACUCCCUGUCUGUGUGACCGCUGGCAAAGUCCUUGACCUCGGCCAGUCUGCGUUUCCUGAUCCAGGCAGUGGGGACAUGGUCCUUUCCCUCAGAGGGGUGGUGAGGAUUCAAUGAACUCCUUUAGGUAGAGCUUGCUCAGGAGCAUCAGCUGUAACACCUGUCCUGGAAGGUUGCUAGGUGCCCUCACCCUUUGUUCUGUGCCCACCUCUCUCCACCCCCUCUUCAGCCCGGAUCCAGACGAGGCCUGGGGAAAGUCUCCCAGAAAGCGCCCUGACCAGGGCGGUGCCAGCUGGGUUCCUGUUUGCCUAAACCCAAGCAGCAAGCUCUUCAAAGGAACCUAACAAACCGGACAGAGAGCUUUGUUUUUUUCCUCACAGCAAAGGAGACAGAAAAGUUUGCUGAGUAAGUCAGACACCAUUAAACUCACAAAAAGGCUCUUUGUUCCGGCCUGAGAGGGGGUGAAAAAAAUAAGCGAAGUGGUCGAAGGGCGUGUGUUUGCUUCCGUGUUCUUGGAGUGUUUGGGCAGGGCUCACCCAGCUCACUCUUCCUGCUCUCCCCCAUCUCUGAGUCCUCUGCCCCUGGUGAUCCCACCUGUUAUAUCAAAAAAUUGCACCACGGCCCAGCCAGAAGGAACGGCUAAGGGCUGUUAGUCCAGCCAGAGUUUCACUUUUAAAAUGAUGCUACCUAGUACUUAAGUUAGACGCUCCCGCAGGGCUUUCCUGUGCUUUUUCUUGUUGGAAGUGAUGUGACCGAGGCUCUUGCCAAAGGUCAGUUAGUUGCUGUCUGAGCUGGGCUUGGGACCAAGCCCCUCGUACCCAGCCUGUUGUCAUUUACUGUCAUCCCUAGUGCUAGCUGUGGAAAAGUCUGCUUGAUUCUAACCCUUUUGUCUCUAGUACAGUGAGAUCUAUGCUAAGAUUUGUUUGUCCUCAUUAAAUUAUAAAUUCUUCCAGGCAGGUCACUAUGUGGCUGGUGCCCCCCUGCAGUUGUGCAGUGUGCAACCUGUCAGACUGAACAUGGCAGCCCUGCUUCUGGGGUUAAUACAAUAUUAUUGAUUCAUUCUUCCAGCAGAUGGAACAAUGCCUGUGGGGGGCAAUUAUGCCUUUGCUUCUAAGACUCGUGCUUGUAAUGCCCAAAAUCCAGUGUCACUGAGCCCAGCUGUGCUGAGAGAAACCAGCAAGUGGGCCAAAAAGAAAAGGUCUCCUCCUCCCAGACACACUGGCUGCUGGAGAAAGCCUGUGUGUUCUUAGGUGGCUGGGCUAGGUGGGGGCAGGCUCAUGGGCAGGGGAACCAGUCUCUUAGGUGGGCAUUUCUGGGGGGCUCUCAUGGGGUGGAACUAACCAGCCAGGCCCAGUUCUCUCCUUUGGCAGCCAGAGAGGGGAGAAUGUCAGAUGUUUGUGCCUUGACUCAGCAGGUGACGUUGUGAACAUUUAUGAGCUUUUCUUCCUUUGGGCUCAUUUCUUUAUCUGUUAAAAGCAGGCAGGGCAGUGCCCAGCCCGCACCUGCCCAGAAGGACAGACAAAACAUAAAAGGGCGGGGUGAUUGUGAAAUAUCACUGGGCAUUGUUCAUGUCAGAGCUCCUGGUGCAGUGCGAUGCCCAGGACUUUGUGUGGGCAGGGCUGGUGCUGAAGUGCAGGAGAAGACUCAGCUCUGGCUGAGCAGGCGCUGACCCACACUGCUGCUCUGUAACUCACACCGUUAACAAUGGAAAGCGUUGCCUUGUUGUCUGUUUUGUGCAUCCAUGUUUUCAUUCCGAUUUUUAGUCCACAUCUCUGGAGGGCAGAAAAUCUGUCUUAUGCUUCUUUUUCCUUCAACUGCAUCCUUGGGAGGGUGGUAGAUAGAAGACAGACAUUCUUUACACAGGUGAGGCCCGCAGGAAGAACCAGGGCCAGUCCUCAUGGUCAUCACACACCUGGAGAGGGAGGCUUCUGUGACUUUGUGUGUGGUGACAACGCUGUGCUGCUUGGUCUUCCGAAUGGUUGGACAGCCUUUGGCAUGUGCUCUAGGACGCCCAGAGCUGCAGGUUGGCCUUGACUCCUCUAGCCUUGCCAAGUCCCUCAGGUAGAUCAGCCCACUGGUACCUUCAGCCGGCCGGCACCCUCCUGCCCAGGUGGGGCCAUGCCUCUGUUGGCUGCACUGUCUUUCAGGAGGGUGUCCUUGGCUCUGGCAUUCUGGGCUCCUAGAACAGAACUGCAAUGGUUUUCCUCAGCCUGCGUUCCUGACUUCUGUCCAGCUUGUGGUCUGCCUUGUGGCUCCCUUCCCUGGGGACCGUCCCCUCUGUCCCCCACCAGGAGGGUCAUGCCUGCCACACACUGCUCCUAACAACCCGCCCUGUGAUGGCUCUGGCUGGUGACCCGCAGCUGCUGGCCAGGCUGGGCUGAACCCGGAUGGCUGCGGAUCAGCAGAGCACGCGCCCCACCGCGUUGGGCCUGCUCUCGGAUAUGCUGCUGGUGGACUGACUCAUAACUAGCGCUUCCUCUCAACAAAAACAAACACCCAGGGAGAGACUCAAGGGCCCUCCUUGGCUAAACAAUUCUUGAGAUUGAGUUGGAAGGGAAAACCCAUUACACAAAGGGCUUUGCAGGGGAAGAGGGGAGAAGGCGAGAAGCCAGAACAAACACAAGAAGGCCCAAGCCACCCAGGGACUGGGAGAGGGACUCCGGCUCAGGUGGGCGCGGCCAUAUCCACCUUUUUGGGACUGAGACACUGAGCACAUUUGCUCACUGCUUUCCCUCCGACAGCUGUUAAAGCUGGUGCUUUGAACCCAGCCCUGGGCAGGGUCCUUGCUGGCUCCGGGAACCUCCAUUCUUGCUGGGCUGACCCUUUGCACAGCGGGCUAGGGCAGCCCUGGGUGUGGGGCUCCAGCUCACAGACAGUGUGAUCAUGAAAUGAGGAAAGUGUGGGCUUUGGAGUCUGUGAGACCUGGCUGCAAAGGCUGCUCUGCUGGCCCUAGCUUUAUGGGCUCAGGCAAGUGACUUAACCUCGCAGAGUCUCAGUUUCUUUAUCUGAGAAAUGGGUGGUGAUGCCUACUUGGGAGAUUGCUGUGAGGAUUAAAGAUGACCUAUGUACAGUGCUGGAACAUAGGAGGCAGUUACUACCUAGCAGCUAAUCUUACUUAAUUAAAUAUCUUCCCCUCUCAAAUAAACCUUCUGGGUCUAGCAAAGAAAGUUGAGUAAGAUACAGGCCUUCUCCACUGGACACACACAGCUCCUUGGGGACCAUCUGGUGGGAUCUCAUUCCCAGGCCCCAGGCCAGAUGCUCAUCAGCACCCAGUGAGGCCACAGCCAGCCCUGAUUCCAGGUCACUGGCCCACCUCUGGUCAUAGUGGCCUCUUCUGUCUUCUCAUCAUCCCACAGUUAGGCAGGACCUCCCAUGAACCAAUGGAAAAAUGCCCAGUAGUACAGAUGCCAGCAUGCUGACCAGGGAACAGGCACAGGUCACCUUGGGCUCGGUGUGGAGCCAUCAGCUGGCCAGGGGGACCUCACUGUCCUCCUGGUUGCAGAGGAAGGCACUGGGCUUGUGGGAAGAGUCUUAGAGAAAAACUUUGCAAUGGGGCAUGGCCACAGGACUGAGGGCCAAGCAAAGACUACUGAUGAGAAUUUCUGUGGGGGGAGAGUUUCAUUUCAAUGGAAGGAAGAACUUUUAUCAGUAAGAACAAAAACUUCACUGUUGAAGAAUAGAUUCAAGGGCACCUUCACCUUCUUUGUCCCUCCUUGACUUGGCCACUGGUGGUAGUGUGUGUGCACAUGUACGUGGGUGUGUGUGUGUUGUUCAGCUUAAUAAAUAACACAUCAAAAUCAUGCAGUGCAGUCAAAUUCAUAUGAGAAAAAAAUUUGUUUGUUCUCAAGUUCUGUGAAAGUAGAUAUACCUGAACCAGCCAACCACUGACCUCCAACUACCAAGUUCUGCCAAAAGUUGUGACACUCAGAGGACAAACCAGUUAAGCAGUGUUUGUCAAAAAAUAUUCCCUGGACAAGACUUAUUCCUGUCUGGGUGUGUCCACGUUACAAAAGCAUGUCUACACCACAUUGCUACAUCGAUCUUCAGAACGUCUGAGUGAAGUAGGCAGGAGGGUAUUGUCUUCCUUUUGCAGAGGAGGAAAUAACUUGCUCAAGGUUACAUGGCCAGCAAGUAGCAGGCUUGGGAGAACCAGGUCUUCUGGCUGCUUCACAAAGCCUGAUCUAGAAAAGGAGGGGGCUGCCUCGUGAGUCCCGUGGACCCAAACUGAGAUCAGAUGACAGAGGAUCAGAUCAUGGAGACCUUCUGGAGUUCAUAAUUGUACCAUGAAAGCAUUGUCCUGCACGACAGUGAGAGCAGAAGUUGGCACAAUUUUUAGAUGUGUAAUUUGGCAAUAUGAAUCAGAAACCAUAAAGGUGACUAUGGGCUUUGACCAAUUAUUUUCAUUUCUAGGACAGUGUCUUCAAGAAAUAAUCAGAAAUGGGCACCAGGUUAAAAAGUUACACAUAGGGUUACCGUAUGACCCAGCAAUUCCACUCUUGGUGUAAGCCCAAGAAAAUGAAAACAUGUGUCCACACAGAAAAAUUGUAUGUGUUUAUAGCAGUACUAUUUAUACUAACUGAAAAGUGAAAAGACCCCAAUAUUCACCACUAUUGAAAAAAUAAAAUAUGAUCUAUCCAUAUAGUAGAAUAUUAUUCUGCUGUAAAAAGGUAUGAAGUAGUGAUAUUUGCUGCAACAUGGAUGACCCUUGAAAACACUGCGCUAAGUGAAAGAAGCCAGGCACAAAAGACCACAUCCUAUGACUUUGUUUAUAUAAAUCCAGAAUAGGCAAAUUUGUAAAGCUAAAAGUAGAGUAGGGUUGCUUAAGUUUGGAGUAGGAAAGUUGGGAAGAUGCAGAUUCAUUGCUAAUGGGUAUGAUGUUUAUUUUAGCAGAACAAAAAUAUUCUAAAAUUAGAUUGUGGUGAGGGUUGUACAACACUGAAUUAUUUUUAAAAUGUUAAACUGUACACUUUAAAUGAGUGAAUUACAUGGUAUGUGACUUAUAUCUCAACAAUUUUUUUUCUAAAAAAAAAGGGCACCAGGAAGUUCUUCUCAUCAGUUUUCAUAAUAAUAAAAAAAUUUGAAACAAUCCAAGCUCAUAAGGAAAAGAAAUAAUCAAAUAAUUAUAGUACACCCAUAGUUGAUGUAUAAAGAAAUCAAAAAAUAUAAUACAUAAAAAUAUUUUAGACAAUGAGAAAAUGCUCAUGAAAUAUUAAAAAUUAUAAAAUACAAAUGUAUGUUUAGUGUGAUUUCCAUUUUAUUUUAAUUUUUAAAAAUUAAAUGUUUUAUCUUUUAAGAAAGAAUUUUAAGAAAGAAUGCAGAGAUCCUGUGUAUCUUUCACCAAUUUCCCCAGAUGGGAGCAGUUUGCAAAACUGUAGUACAAGACAGCAACCAGGACAUUGACCUUAAUAUGGUCAAGCAACAAAACAUUUUCACCACUGCAAGGAUCACUUGUGUUGCCCUUUUAUAGCCAUGCCCCCUUUCUUCCUGUGCCAUUCUCACCUUAAUCCCAGGAAACAGCUAACCUAUUCUUCAUCUCUAUGAUUUUGUUAUUUCAAGAUUGUUAUAAAUGGAAUCAUAUAGUGUGAAACCUUUUGGGACUGGCUUUUUUCACUCUACAUAAUUCACUAAGACCCAUCUAGGUUGUUGCACUUAUCCUUAGUUCGUAUUUGUUUAAAAACCUGUACACAGCGUGUGUAGUAGUUUUAUUUGUAAUAGCCCAAACCUGGAAGCAAUCCAGAAUUCUCCAGGGAAACCAUCUGGGCCUGGAGAUUUCCUUUUUUAGGAGGUUAAAAAUUACCAAUUAAAUUUCUUUAAUAGUUACAGGGCUAUUCAAAUCAUCUACUUUAUAUUUGAUGAGUUGUUAUAGUUUACAUUUUUCAAGGAAUUGGUCUAUUUCAUCUAAGUUGUCAAAAUUUACGUGGAUAAAGUUUUUGUGGCAUUCCAUGAGUAUCCUUUUGAUAUCUGUAGGGUCUAUGGUAAUAUCCUUGUUUUAUUUCUGAUAUUUGUAAUUUAUGUCUUUCCUCUUUUUUCCUUUGUCAGUCUUACUAGAAGUUUACCAAUUUUAUUGAUCUUAUAAAAAAACUAGUUCUUGAUUGAUUUUCUCUAUUUUUUUCUGUUUUCAAUUUCAUGGAGUUUGGUUUUUAUUUCUUUAUUUCUGCUUUCUUUGGAUUUACUUUUUUUUUAGGUUCUUGAGGUGGAAGCUUAGAUUAUUUAUUUGAAUUUUUCCUUUUUCUAAUAUAUUCAUUUAGUGCUAUGAAUUUUCCCCUCAGCACUGCUUUAGCUGAGUGCCACAAAUUUUGAUAUGUUGAAUUUUCAUUUUCAUUCAGUUCAAUGUAUUAAAAAAUUAUCUGGAGACUUCCUCUUUGACCUCUGGGUUAUUUAGAAGUGUGCUAUUUAGUUUUCAAGUGUUAUGAGAUUUUCCUAUCAUUUCUCUGUUAUUGAUUUCUAGUUUGAUUCCAUGUGAUUGGAGAACACACGCUAUAAGAUGUGAAUUCUUUUGAAUAUGUUGAGGUUUGUUUUGUGGCCCUGAAUAUAGUCUAUCUUAGUGUAUAUAUUUUGAAGUAUGGGAAAAUGUUCAUGAUAUAUUAUAUAAAAAUAUAAAUUAUAAAAUGUGUGUAUAGUGUGAUUCCAAUUUUAUGUUAACUGCCCUUUAUUUUCCUCCUUAUCCUCUUCUGAAUUAUCUAAAGUUAAGAAUUCUACCUUUUAUGAUCAGAAAGUUUUUUUUUUUAAAUGGAAAGAGCAGUGGGUAGUGUGUCAUAAGAUACAAGUUUAAAAACUGGGCUCUCAUUUUCUAGCAAUGUGACCCAGGCACUGCAUCUCAUUUUAUCUAAUUGAGCCUCAUUUCUAAAAUCUAUAAAAUGGAAAUAAUAAAAUGCCCACUUUAUAGAGUUAUUGUAUUAAACAAUCCAAAGCCAGCAUUUAUUAAAUGCCCAAGCAGUGUGCACACGGUAUGGUGGUGUUUCUAUUACAGUGAGGAAGCUGGACUCUUUUAUCUCUUGGGUCCCUUGCGACUAUUUGCUUUUAAGCCUCUGUGAUUCUUUCACUGAGGAGCAGACAGAAGUCUGAAACAUAUUGUGUCUGUGGACAGAACUCUCCAUAAAUUGCUGUUCUCCAGAUAUUUCUGGAAGCCUGGGAGUAUAAUUGGGAUGUAACAAAUUUGGACUUUUUAGCAAUGUUCCAAUUUCAAAUGUUCUGUCCUCUUGCUCCCCUAGUAUAACAGUAAUGUUUUCACCAUGCAAUUUCAUUUCUGGUUAGAAAAAUGUGGAUAUUAGGUUAAAAGAUUCACCUGAAAGGAGAAGAAAAAUUCUUGGUUGUCUGCCAUACCCUUUACUAGAAACCUUUCCCCUCUUCUUAGGCCUGUGAUUGUUCUCCAAAGCAGGUGAUUGUAAUCAAGCUCCCAAGAACCAGGUUAUCAGUCAGUUUUACAGCCCUAAUUUCUCAAUGGCAGGAAAGGAGUGGGGCCUGUAAGAUGAGUCAAGGAGGGACAGGGUUUCCUUGGUAUUACUUAAUUUUAAAGUCCUUUUCCCUGCCCAUGCAUGACUCCCAAUCCACCGCUGGGCUGGCCUCUAGAAGAACCGCUGUAGGAGCUCUCACCCUGCCAGGGCCACCUCCGGUCUUCUCUCUGUGUCUUCCACCCUUCCUUGGCCAGCAGACAGUCUUCUGGUUUUAGAAGUGUCUUUUCUUCCUACUUGUGUGGUAUUCCCUUCCAAAUCCACCCUAUCCAUGUGGAUGGAGUCUUCUUGACCAAGAGAGCCAGGGUCCAAGCUUUUCUAAGGAUAUUCCAGAGGAUACUAGGGUCUAUUCAGCCAAUGAACCCUUAGCCCUGCUUCCAGACUCGGUGUACUACCAUCCCUCUCAAAGCUCCCUGUUCAUCCAAUGUGUAGUAUCUACUGAUAAUUCAGCAUCCCGUGCCAACCAGUCAUGCCCCACUCUGUGAUCUUAGGGUGGCGGAUGCCUAUUUAUACAUUGCCCUUAUUUUAUUUUACACCCUUUAUCACCUGGGUCUGUGAGUUUCUUGGGUUCAAGGACUUUUCUCAUUUGUUUUUGUUUAUUUUGAUCAAGGUAAAUAUAUAGCAUAAAAUUUACCAUUUUAGGUACACAAUUUGGUGGCAUUAAGUGUACCAUAGUCUCAAUGCCUUAGUCUCAACACUAAGUCACAUGAAAUCAAACUAGAACUGUCACCACCAUCCAUUUCCAGAAUUUCAUCAUCCCAAACGGUAACUGUCUACCCGUCAAACAACAACCCCAGCUGGGCGCAGUGGCUCAUGCCUGAGGUCCUAGCAUUUUAGGAGGCCGAGGUGGGCAGAUCACUUGAGUCCAGGAGUUCCAGACCCGCCUGAGCAACAUGGUGAAACCCUGGCUCUACAAAAAAUACAAAAAUUAGCCAGGAGUGGUGGUAUACGCCUGUAGUCCCAGCUACUGGUGACGGGGGAGGCCUGGGAGCUGAGGUGGGAGGAUGGCUUGAGCCUGGGGAGGCGGAAUCUGCAGUGAGCCGAGAUUGCACCAUUGCACUCCAGCCUGGGUGACAGAGUGAGAUACUUUCUGAAAAACAAAAAAACAAACCAAAACAAAACAAAACACCCCAACAAACCCAUUUAUUUUUGCAUCUUCUGUCUUCUAUGUGAGGACCUUUGCCUAGCACACAUCCAGGCAGACAUAUUGUGACAUUGUCCACAGACAUGAGACAUACUGUGAAGGUGCCCUUGAGUUGUGCAAGACAGUGGUCAAGCUCCCAUCCCACUUCUUAACACAUGGCGGGACCUUAAAUGUUCUUAAAAUUGAACCAACCGGAAAGCAGGAUAUUAUGGGCACACUUUUAAUCCUUGGCUCUUGGGGUAAACUGCCCUCAAGAAAGACCUUGACUUUCACCCUGGGGAGAAGAUCUCUCUUUCAUGGCCUUCCAAAUUCUGCGAUCUGUGGCAUUAAUUCUGCUCAAAUUGAUUUCAUUUGUCUAAUAUUUUCAGCCUAAUGAGACAGUGGGCUGUGCUACGUGACCGAACCAGCAACUAAAGCAACAGGGCCUUCCCCUUGGGGUGUCCAUUCCCCAGGGUCGGGCGAUAGGAACUUCCUUCCAAGCGACUGAACCAGCAGCUACAGCAACAGGGCCUUCCCCUCGGGGUGUCUGUACCCUACGGUCAGGUGAUAAGAACUUCCUUCCAUGCGGCUCUCGUCUUUGAAAUCAUGACUUUAAUGGUGGUGAUAAGACCACAGAAACUUUUGCUACUUGAAUCCUCUCAAGGGCAGCUUAGAAAAAGUCAAUUUUGCUAGAGACAUGGGGAGACACAGAACUCCUCCAUAUGAAAUACAUCAUCCCUGUUUUAGGACAAAAGAGCGGGUCUGUGGGUAUGAAGUGGACGGCACCCUCCUCCCUUCAAGCGCAGCCCAGCCCUCCUCUCCCCUCCUCUCCUGCAAGGUGUCGGUGAUUCCUCCGGCUUGCCCUGGGCUCUCCCUUCUCAGACCAGGCGCCUCUGUGGUCAGCAUUGUGCGUCUGGUUGCUUACAUGCCCCUGCUUGUUUACGGUGAUUGUUUUGUGUCCACAGAUCCUGGAGAAUGAGCUAUUUGAGGAACAAGACUUAACUUUGCUAUGCAUAGCUCAUCGAGGACGUUCCAGCAGAACUUAUUCCCUGAGUGAUAAAGCAUACAGGGUGUAGGUUUCUGUAGAAAGUCAGACAGAAACAGAUGGAACUAAAGAAAACACAGUUAGAGGGGUCCCCAAAUAACUGACUUGUGCUUGUCUCUUUGGCUUUUGCAUUAUCUCUGAGACGCAGAAUGUACCUGGAACAUUCCCCUGGAGGGCAGGACCUGUGAAAACAGGAGCAGGAGGAGCUGGCAUCAGCUGUGCUUGCUCCCAGUUCUGCAGCCUGAAGGGAAAAGGCUCCUGAAGCUUUCUUACCACAGGAAGGAAAAACAACUUGCAUUAAGGCUGUGUCCCAAGAUCAAAGACAUUCUUAAACAAUGAAUGAGUACCAGGGAAAAAUAUGUUAGGCCAGAGUGGAAGUUGGGUUGUAUUUGGAAAGAAGUGGCGGUACCGAGCAAAGAUGGGGAGAGAGGGUCAGGAGUAGAAGAAACAGGCCGGGCACGGUGGCUCACGCGUGUAAUCUCAGCACUUUGG